GCCUCUGUCGUUUAAUAGGAAAGACCUCAGCCUUCUAAGCUGAUUUUGUGGGUUCGAAUCCCGCCGGGGGUA
rnacentral:tRNA from 1 species